GAUGAACGCUGACAGAAUGCUUAACACAUGCAAGUCUUUGGCGAAGCUGUGCUUGCACCGCCUAGCCAAGGCGGACGGGUGAGUAACGCGUAAGGAACUUGCCCUGCAGUCAGGGAUAACAGACGGAAACGACUGAUAAGACCUGGUAAAGUCAGGCGGACUCAUGUCCAGCCUGAUGAAAGGAGAUGCUGCAGGAGAGCCUUGCGUCCUAUUAGCUUGUUGGUGGGGUAACGGCCCACCAAGGCGAUGAUAGGUAGCCGGCCUGAGAGGGUGGACGGCCACAAGGGGAAUGAGAUACGGCCCUUACUCCUACGGGAGGCAGCAGUGGGGAAUAUUGGACAAUGGGGGCAACCCUGAUCCAGCAAUUCUGUGUGCACGAUGAAGGUUUUCGGAUUGUAAAGUGCUUUCAGCAGGGAAGAAAAAAAUGACGGUACCUGCAGAAGAAGCGACGGCUAAAUACGUG
rnacentral:rRNA from 1 species